CAGUCUGUCAGUACUGCCUCAGACAGUUAGUUGUAGACACAAGAUGACACGGUGUCUUUACCUUUUCCUGUGUUUUUUGGAGCAUUUCCAAAAGAUCCUGUUUGUCGGAUCAGAGGAGACUCCGACUUUUGGAUCCAAAAAUAUUCCCAGACUUCUGCGCAAAGAUGUCAUCAGAGGAGGUUUUAAAUACCCAGUCCAUCAAAACCACACGAUUUUAUGUUAUCAUGAAGAGUCUGGAGAGAUGUAUGUCGGGGGCAGCGAUUUUGUGUUAAAGCUUGACUCUGAUGGCUAUCAAAUAACAAAGACAUUCCAUCUUAAUGCCACAAGCGACCAGCAAUGCCAAGAGGGCCCUUGUUGUAACAUUAUCACUGUCAUCGAGAGGUUUGAGGACAUCCUUUUGGUCUGCGGGACCAACGGUCACAGCCCACACUGCUGGAAGCUUUCUCCUGACAUAGUGGAGGAUUACGAAGGGACGGGUAUUUCACCGUUCAUGCAUACACAGAACUCGCUGUCUCUUCAAGUUGAGGGUGAUCUAUAUGCUGCAGCUCCACUGGAUACUGACGGAAGCGCCUUGCAGUUCAGACGGAAAGCCGGAAACAGACCCAAUAUCUGGAUGUAUGACAGCUGGGUGUCAGAGCCUACAUUUGUCUCUGCAUCCUGGGUGCAGCGGAAAGACGACCCUGACAAUGAAAAGAUUUACAUUUUUUUUCGUGAAAAGAACUCCGACCACAACCCGGAGGCUGAUCCGUGGAUUUCCAGGGUGGCCCGAGUCUGUAAGAUAGAUGAAGGCGGAUCAAAACGAUUCUUCCAGAACAUGUGGACAUCGUUUCUCAAGGCUCGGCUGAUCUGUGGCUUCCCAGAGGAGUCCCUCUACUUCAACCGCCUGCAGGACGUCUACGUGCAGCACGCCGAGGACUGGCGUGACACGAGAGUCUACGCCCUCUUCACCAGCAGCUGGAACUCCACUGCCAUUUGCAUUUAUUCAAUACAGACCAUUGAAGGCAUUUUUGACAACUCCACCUUCAAAGGCUAUGACAAAGCUAUUCCACAACCAAGGCCAGGCACAUGUGUAAAAAACAGCCGCAGCUUACCGCUGGCCACAGUCAGUGUGGUGAGAGAUCAUCCUGAAAUUAGCGACUGGGUCUACAAAACUCCUUUUUAUGUCAGCAACAACAACUACACCAAGAUAGUAGUGGACCGCGUCCAGGCAGUGGACGACAUGUACAACAUUCUGCUGCUCGCCACUGAUUCCGGAAGGAUCCAUAAGAUUCUCGAGGCCGGUUCUGAACCUUUCAUCAUCUCCGAAACCCAGAUUCUAAAUCAGUCCCCCGUACAGUCCAUGAAACUGGACUCCAAAAAGAAAAAACUAGUUGUGAGUUUUGCAGAGAAAAUCUCUGUGAUGGACCUCCAGAGUUGUCAAGAAUACAACAAAUCCUGUGCGGACUGCGUCCUCGCCCGGGACCCGUACUGUUCCUGGACUACAUCCGGAUGCGUGCCAACCACUGAGGGGAUUCAAAAUAUUCGAGAUGGGCACACCUAUGUCUGCCAUACAGGUCUGCCAUCAGGUAUUGAAUAUGACAUCCUUUUUUCAAAAUGCAAAAUUACUGUUGAGGAUCUUUUUGUGUCCUUAAAACACACUCAAGUCAACCGGACCAGACGGGACACCGCACCGCCUGUGGAUGUGAAUUUGCUAACUCUGCCCGCUGUGCCUGGGUGUGUCCCGUUUUACCUGUCGUGCCCCAUUGACUCCUACCAUGCCGUCUACAUGUGGAAGCACAUGGACCAGAGCAGCCCGUGUCUGCAGAUGCACACCGUCUGCCUCUUCCUCAUCCCCGCUGUGACCCCGGAGAGCUACGGCAGCUACGAGUGUGUUUCCAAGGAGAGGGACCACGUCGGCGUGGUGAAGAGGUAUCAUCUAACGCAGCAAAUCGACCAACGAAGCAGGACUAAUGGCGGUAAAGCAUCAGCUGUGGCAGCGGAGAUUGUGUGUGUUGCACUAGUACUUUUUGUUGCCUUGUUGAACGCUUAAUGUUUUCCAGAUUCAAUUCUCAACACCGUUCAUUAAGCUUAGAGAAGCCACUGUGUCAUCCAAAAUUGUUCAGCAUAAUUUUUCAAAGGGUUCAAUUCUAAUUAAUCAGUUCCAGAGUCAAACUUACUGAAAAUCAAUUUAGGGGCAAUGUUUGAAGUUCCAGUUUAGUACAAAACCCAAAACCAGUGAAGUUAGCACGUUGUAGAAAUCGUAAAUAAAAACAGAAUACGAGGAUUUGCUAAUCCUUUUCAACCUUCAACUGAAUAGACUGCAAAGACAAGAUAUUUAACGUUCGAAUUGGAAAAUGUUGUUAUUCUUUGGAACUUUAUGCCUGCAACAUGUUUCAAAAAAGCUACGACAAGUGGCAUAAAAGACUGAGAAAGUUAAGGAAUGCUCAUCAAACACUUAUUUGGAACAUCACAGGUGAAGAGACUAAUUUGGAAUAGGUAAGUGCCGUGAUUGGGUAUGAAAGCAGCUUCUAUGAAGUGCUCAGUCAUUCACAAACAAGGAUGGGGCGAGGGUCACCGCUUUGUGAACAAAUGUGUGAGCUAAUUGUUGAACAGUUUAAGAACAACAUUUCUCAACGAGCUAUUGCAAAAAUUUGGGGAUUUCAGCAUCUACGGUCCGUAAUAUCAUCAAAAGGUGCAGAGAAUCUGGAGAAAUCAAGCCACGUAAGCGAUGAUAUUACGGACCUUUGAUGCCUUAGGCGGUACUGCAUCAAAAAGCUACAUCAGUGUGUAAGGAUUAUCACCACAUGGGCUUUGGAACACUUUAGAAAACCACUGUCAGAAACUACAGUUGGUCGCUACAUUUGUAAGUGCAAGUUAAAACUCUACUAUGCAAAGCCAUAGCCAUUUAUCAACAACACCCAGAAGCGCCGCCGGCUUUACUGGGCCCGAGCGCAUCUAAGAUGGACUGAUGCAAAGUGGAAAAAUGUUCUGUGGUCUGAUGAGUCCACAUUUCAAAUUGUUUUUGGAAACUCUGGACGUUGUGUUUACCGAGUGGUGUAAAAAAAGGAAAGGCCAUGUAACAGUGGUAAAAAUGCCCCUGUGCCAACUCUUUUGCAAUGUGUUGCUGCCAUUCUAAGUUAAUGAUUAUUUGCAAAAACAAAUUAUGUUUCUCAUGAAUAUCUGCGUUCCGCCCGAUUGUACCUGAAAUAGGCGCCAGCGCCCCCCGCGACCCCAAAAGGGAAUAAGGGCUAGAAAAUGGAUGGAUGAAUAUCUUGUUUUUGCAGUAUGUUCAAUUAAAUAUAAGUUGAAAAGGAAUUGCAAAUCAUUGUAUUCUGUUUAUAGUUACGAUUUUCACAACGUGCCAACUUCACUGAAUUUGGGUUUUGUAUUAUAAAUUGUUAAACAAGUGUAAAAAUAAGUUAACCAAUGCUGCGUAAUGCAGUGUGCAACAUUUGCUUAGGCAAAGUGCAUGCUUAGACUCUUUUUGAGUUAUCCAUCAUAUGCUGAGCAGCCUGGACCGAUUUAAAAAAAAAAAGGAAACAGGACCGGUUUAACUCGAAUGUUUAUUCUACUGAACAACCAGGACAGAGGCAUGUGUCUUUUGAUUUUCAAUAUGCACGGCUCGACCUCAAUAUAUCCUACUGAGAACCCGCGUCCACUGGCCAUUUGUGUUUUGCAUACCGUACCAUAUUUCAUAUCCGAAAUGUGUAUCUCUGACAAAGAAAAUAGACCUGAGAAGCAAAUGUCCACUGCGUUGGACGCUGGUUCUCAGGAGGAAAUAUGACCCUUACGUGUUUCGAUUUCGGGGGUUCCGUUGCAAAGUAAGCCGACGGAAUGACGGGAGGUUGUGUUUGCUCCAUGACUCUCUGUACUGGUAAACACAAGUGGACCUUUUGUUAACCAGCACUCACAGGCCCAACUGACUGAGCCAAUGAACAAUAGUAUUAAACACUAACAGAACUGGCAACACCCUCACCUUGCAGCAAACCUUUUUUUUCCAAAUUUUCUCAAGGAACAAUGCUAAUAUGAAAUGAAUGACCUGAAACGCAUAUAUAAUAUAGAGUAGUCAGUGUACAGCUUUACUAUCCACUGAAAAUGAGUCAACAACACCCAGACAUUAUUGUCUAAAUAGGUGUCAACUUGAGUGGGUGGCAUGAUGAUUAUGUCUUGCCUGCAGUCAAGUAUGGUGUCAUGGUCUGGGGCUGCAUGAGUGCUGACGGCACAGGGAAGCUACGGUUCAUGGAGGCGACUUUGUAGCCAAAGUGACAUUGCAUUGUUUUAGACAGUGGAAGAGACAAAAAAGUGAGAAAAAAUAUAAAAAGCAAAAAUAUGAAUUGAAAUACAAAUUAACUAUUUGGGGCGGUAUAGCGGGGGGGCGCUGGUGCCUAUUUCAGCUACUAUCGGGCGGAAGGCGGUGUACACCCUGGACAAGUCGCCACCUCAUCACAGGGCCAACACAGAUAGACAGACAACAUUCACACUCACAUUCACCCCAAAGGGAAUAAAAGGUAGAAAAUGGAUGGAUGGAUGGGGCGGUAUAUCUCGGUUGGUAGAGUGGUUUUGCCAGCAGCUUGAGGGUUCCCAGUUCGAUCCCUGCUUCCGCCAUCCUAGUCCCUGCCGUUGUGUCCUUGGGCAAGACACUUUACUCACCUGCUCCCAGUGCCACCCACACUGGUUUAAAUGUAACGUAGAUAUUGGGUUUCACUAUGCAAAAGCACUUUGAGUCACUAGAGAAAAGCGCAAAAAAAUAAAAAAAUCACUAAUUAAUUCAUUAAUAUUCUUAUGUCGCUUCAUUUUUCGGGGUGGGGGGAGUAGAGUUAUGUCACAAACAAUAUGGAGAUGCGUAUAAGUGCUUUUAGAUGGGAGUGGGGCAAUAUUUGAUUUCAUGUUAAGAGUCUCAAAAAGUGUCCGAAUCGUCGUUAACUUUAUUGUCAGUCACCAACCAAAUUCAAAAAAAUCAGACGGUGUUGUAUUUUAAUAGCUUUGUGGCUCAACUUUGCCGUUUAAAAGGGCGUCCGCCAGGUUUUUUUUUUGCAUGCGCAAGUUUAACGCAUGAGGCCCCUGGUCCGUGUGAGGUGUGUUAUCACGGUCCUAUUCACAGACAGUGCCAUUACCAUGUGCUUUUGAGCAAAGGCGAACAAGUAUUGCCAAAUCAAUUUGUACACCUGGUGGGCCGGCACGAUUCCAAACUAACUGAACACCUGUCUGACAUCUUCCAGCGGAAGAAAGUUGAAUGUGUCCUCGCUUGUGUCGCCAUUAUUUGGACACCAAUAGCUGUGUGUCGACUUUUUAUUUAUCUAUAUGAAUCUAUACUGCGUUACAAGCUGUACACCGACUACUCUAAAGCAGUGUUUUUCAACCUUUUGUGAGCCGAGGCACAUUUUUUGCAUUGAAAAAUCCGGAGGCGCACCACCAGCAGAAAUUAUUAAAAAAACAAAACUCAGUUGACAGUAAAAAGUCGUUGCUGUUGGAUACGACUUUAAACCAUAACCAAGCAUGCAUCACUAUAGCUCUUGUCUCAAAGUAGGUGUACUGUCACCACCUGUCACAUCACCCCCUGAGUUUUUUUUACUGUUUUCCUGUGUGUAGUGUUUUAGUUCUUGUCUUGGUGGCUUUUUUCUUUUUUUUUGUAUUUUCCUGUAGCAGUUUUUUGUCUUCCUUUCAGCGAUAUUUCCCGCAUCUACUUUGUUUUAGCACUCUUGAAUAUUUCAGUUGUUUUUAUCAUUCUUUGUGGGGACAUUGUUAAUUGUCGUGUCAUGUUCAGAUGUACACUGUGGACACCGUCUUUGCUCCACAAGUGGUGAGUCAGUGAGUCAGUGAUGUGGUGAGGCAUGCACAUGUUGAGGCAAGUGAUUUAGUCCACCGGGUCCUCUUUGCAAUCUGGCACUAGUGUAUUGUGUGCAAAUGGACGGAGUUGCUUCAAAGAAUGUCCUUGUUUUGUUUCCCCUCACACCAACACCACCUACCUCUACUGAGGACCACACCCUAUGGUCAGGGAAGCCUUUUAUCAACAUGCAAUAGAACAAGCUUGGUACAGUAGUUGAGUAGACAACCUUUAACCUCCGUGAGUGAUAUAUUUAAGUGUGUCGGGCAAAAGUCUUGGGCCGCCACUAAUUGUGUUUUUAAUGAACUUUUUCAAAGGAAUCAUUUUGACUCAUAGCCUACAAAACCGACCUAACUUUGGCAUCAAGGCAUCAACACUAUGCGGCUGUUUAGGACCACAACCACUAGGACAGGGGUCGGCAACCCAACAUGUUGAAAGAGCCAUAUUGCACCAAAAAUACGAAAAACAGAUCUGUCCAGAGCCGCAAAAAAUGUAAAGUCUUAUAUAAUGAAGGCAACACAUGAUGAAAGUGUCUAUAUUAGCUAUAUUAGCCUACUAUGAAAAUGACUUUAAAAGUCUUAUAAAACUGUUAUAAUGAAGGCAACCCAUGAUGGAAGUGUCUAUACCAGCUAUAUAAGCCUACUAUCAAAAUGACUUUAAAAGUCUUAUAUAAGUGUUAUAAUGAAGACAACACAUGAUUGAAGUGUCUAUUUAUAUUAGCCUACUAUCAAAAUGACUUUAAAAGUCAUAUAUAAGUGUUAUAAUGAAGACAACACAUGAUGUGAGUGUCUAUUUUAUAUUAGCUUACUAUCAAAAUCAAUUUAGAAGUUUUAUAUAAGUGUUAUAAUGAAGACAAUACAUGAUUGAAGUGUCUAUUUGUAUUAGCCUACUAUCAAAAUGACUUUAAAAGUCUUAUAUAAGUGUUAUAAGGAAGACAACACAUGAUGUAAGUGUCUAUUUAUAUUAGCCUACUAUCAAAAUGACUAUGUGUCACAGACUGAUGCAAAUCUUUGUUGACAGAAAUGUAAUAUUUAUUCUACACAUUUUUAUAACAUAGAAUUUUUUUUUAAUAAAACGUAGGCUUCUCAGAGGGUGAGACAACUCCUGGAAAAUGCUAACUUAGAAUGUGUGUGUCCAAGUUAAAGGAAACGGCUGGUUGUCUUCUAAUGGAUUUAUUGCAAUCUUUGGGUAACCUUCUCUGUGGUCUGGAACAACAUGGCACACAAACAAGUAACAGAAAUGUGUCAUGUGACAUGAAAACAUGUAUUAAAUACAUAGAGGACAUAAAGGAUGUUAAAUGAGCUCAAAUAUACCUACAAUGCUAAAUAGCAUGUUAGCAUCGAUUAGCUUGCAGUCAUGCACUGACCAACAAAGUUCAAGUUAGUGCAUUCACGCACAGCAUAAAACGUUUGGUGGACAAAAUGAGACAAAGGAGUGGCAUAAAACAUGUAUGUCUGUGGCAGCAUCGGAGAAAGUUGUACAUGUAAACUAACUACGAUGAGUUCAAGUACUGCUGAAAUUACUAGGACAAAACGGCGCUCGCCAAAAACUCUCUCCAGUAAAGCAAACAUAUUAAACAGUGGGAUUUUUAACAUUCAGGGAAGGUUUGUGUUAUUUUUGUCCUCCUACAGAAACCACAUUAAGACAAAAAAUGUUUCUUACCUAAUUUUUUGUCAUUUUCAUACAUUUUUGAAAAAGCUCCAGGGAGCCACAAGAGCGUUGCUAAACAGCCACAUCCGGCUCGAGAGCCGCGGGUUGCUGACCCCCCUACUAGGGAGUCACAUGAUCCAGGUUUGUGUAAAGGAUUUUUUAACUUUCAUUAAAAUCUGUCAGUUAUAAAAUACGAUUUUAUAAAAGUUAAGAUCAAAUCAAUGUUGCUGUCAAAGUUCAAUCACAAGGUUGUUUGAAUCAAAGAAACAUUUCACUUGUUUAGCACAUAACUGUGGUGCCGGAGGGUUCAAAAAACCCUGAUUAAGGUUCAAAACAGAGGCACCAGGUCAUUUAAUUUUUAAUUUCGUGAAUUUAUUUUGAACACAAAGAUCUUAUAUAGCAUCUUCAAUUCAAUAUCGCCACUGAAAUAAACAAUCAUGGUAUUAAAAAAAAGAAGAAAAAAAAAACAUGGUGCAUGUCCAAAAUUAGCAGGAAGAAGCCAACGAUUACAUUGUCCUGCCCCCAACUCAGAUAUAAUAAUAAUAAACAUCUGAUUAUUUGUCAACAAUAUAAUACAUAAUAACCUUAUACAACAAUGUCGAUCAAUAAUAAUACAAAAUAAUUACAUCCAUGAGUACAAAGAAUAACAAACUCGGUCAUCAUUUCAUCAAAUGUAGUUUAUAUAAACACUUUAUACCCUUUGUUGUUGUCCCUUUAAAAACAAUUGUAAUAUUUAUUUUUAAUUUUCACUACUUUUUAAAAACAGGGGAGGCCAGACCUAGAUGCACUAAUACUUAUCACAAAAUAUAUAUACUGUAUAUGUAUUUUUGAUAAUUAUCAUCCACUGCUAAUAAUCCUACAUGAAUCAGACAAUAGAAAGAAUCUUGGAGACACUACCAGCUACAUGCAAAAACCUUUUUUAGGUUUUCACGUGUUUUAAAAAGCUAGUUUGAACCAAAUGACGUAAAUAAUUUGUUAUUAGUGCAUCUCGACAUACUGAGUUUGCGUGUGUGAGGCAGUGAUGUUAGGUUUAGGGUGAUGUGGCGGCCCUUUAUGAUUUCCGUAAUAAUAAUAAUAAUAAAUGAUUUAUAUUAAAGACCAAAAUGGGCCCACAAACAAAAAUUAGGUUAAACAAGGAACAUCAACAAAAUGUUUAUUUCCUUCUGAAGCAGGAAGUAACCUAACUACAUUUCCCUGAUUGAGAAAAAAACUCAACUUUAUUUCUAUGUUGUUAACAAUUGAGCCUGGGUGGAGGUCCUUAAAGUAAAGCAUACACGUAAUGUGAUGGCGGCCUGAGACAUUUGCAGAUUCAUACUUCUACUUCCGAUUUAUGCACUUUUUUUUGUAUAUUUAUAGUUUAUGUCUGAGUUGGUAUUCUGCAUUAUUCUGUAUUUUCGUUUGCAAAUGUUUUUAUUCAAUAGACACAAAAAGUUGUUUUUGUUUUGCAAAUGAUUUCGUAUUAUAAGAAUAUAUUUUUAUAACAAUAAUCUAAUGAUUGCUGGGUUGAUAUGAUUGUUUAUGGUUUCAAUAAAAAACAAGAUGAUCUAAACAAGUCA